rnacentral:rRNA from 1 species
UUGCCCUAGUAACGGCGAGUGAAGCGGCAACAGCUCAAAUUUGAAAUCUGGCCCCGGCCCGAGUUGUAAUUUGCAGAGGAAGCUUCUGGCGCGGCGCCGUCCGAGUCCCCUGGAACGGGGCGCCAUAGAGGGUGAGAGCCCCGUAUGGAUGGACGCCUAGCCUGUGUGAAGCUCCUUCGACGAGUCGAGUAGUUUGGGAAUGCUGCUCAAAAUGGGAGGUAAAUUCCUUCUAAAGCUAAAUAUUGGCCAGAGACCGAUAGCGCACAAGUAGAGUGAUCGAAAGAUGAAAAGCACUUUGAAAAGAGGGUUAAAUAGCACGUGAAAUUGUUGAAAGGGAAGCGCUUGUGACCAGACUUGCGCCAGGCUGAUCAUCCGGUGUUCUCACCGGUGCACUCUGCCUGGCUCAGGCCAGCAUCGGUUUCGGCGGGGGGAUAAAGGCCCAGGGAACGUAGCUCCUCCGGGAGUGUUAUAGCCCUGGGUGCAAUGCCCCCGCGGGGACCGAGGUUCGCGCAUCUGCUAGGAUGCUGGCGUAAUGGUCAUCAGCGACCCGUCUUGAAACACGGACCAAGGAGUCAAGGUUUUGCGCGAGUGUUUGGGUGUCAAACCCGCACGCGUAAUGAAAGUGAACGUAGGUGAGAGCUUCGGCGCAUCAUCGACCGAUCCUGAUGUAUUCGGAUGGAUUUGAGUAGGAGCGUUAAGCCUUGGACCCGAAAGAUGGUGAACUAUGCUUGGAUAGGGUGAAGCCAGAGGAAACUCUGGUGGAGGCUCGCAGCGGUUCUGACGUGCAAAUCGAUCGUCAAAUCUGAGCAUGGGGGCGAAAGACUAAUCGAACCAUCUAGUAGCUGGUUACCGCCGAAGUUUCCCUCAGGAUAGCAGUGUUGUUCUUCAGUUUUAUGAGGUAAAGCGAAUGAUUAGGGACUCGGGGGCGAUUUUUAGCCUUCAUCCAUUCUCAAACUUUAAAUAUGUAAGAAGCCCUUGUUACUUAGUUGAACGUGGGCAUU